AGCAGCCGCGGUAAUUCCAGCUCCAAUAGCGUAUAUUAAAGUUGCUGCAGUUAAAAAGCUCGUAGUUGAAUUUCGGGACCAAUAUGUCGGUCGUGCCUCGGUACGUACUGGCAUCGUUGGUUUCUCCCUUCUGACGAACCAUGAUGUCAUUUAUUUGGUGUCGUGGGGAAUCAGGACUGUUACUUUGAAAAAUUAGAGUGUUUAAAGCAGGCUCACGCUUGAAUACAUUAGCAUGGAAUAAUGAAAUAGGACGUUUGAUUCUAUUUUGUUGGUUUCUAGGAUCGACGUAAUGAUUAAUAGGGAUAGUUGGGGGCAUUAGUAUUCAAUUGUCAGAGGUGAGAUUCUUGGAUUUAUUGAAGACUAACUACUGCGAAAGCAUCUGCCAAGGAUGUUUUCAUUAAUCAAGAACGAAAGUUAGGGGAUCGAAGACGAUCAGAUACCGUCGUAGUC
rnacentral:rRNA from 1 species